ensembl:sense_intronic Gm42702 predicted gene 42702
AGAAAAUAAGCCAAGGUAGGUUGGUUUUAUUAUUUUUUUCCAAAUGUUUUUUCCAAAUGUUUAGAUUUAGGUCUUUGAAAUACAGGAUUAAUGCUUAUAAUUAGAUGAAAUAGAGUGGAGUAAAAGUAAAAAUGAAUUAGGAGAAAGCUUUAUAUGCUAAGCAUGUAGAAUGCAUAUCCAUCAUUUAAAUUUUUUAUUUUAUUUAUUUAUUUUAACUUUUUAUUGAUUCUUUCUGAAUUUCACAACAUGUACCCCGUUCCCACUCAUCUCCCCAUCCCUCCAUAUCUGCCCUUGCAACCUCCCCGACAAAAGGAAAAUAAAAAUAAGAAUUAAAUUAAACAACAACAAAAAAUCUCAUUGUAGAAACUGUAUACCCUUUUGCCCAAAGAGCUUGCAAAUGUUUGUGUCAAUGAGUCAUCUAUUUGGAGGCCUCUGGCUUCUGCUAUACUAUCAGUACUGGAUACUCACCUCCUCUCAAGAUACUCUGUUGUUGUCCUGUGUCAUGGAGAUCCUGCAGCUUUGAGUCUACAGGAUCAACUCUUUUGCCUGCUCCAGCAGUUCAUAGAUGGGGUAGACGUUGGGGUGGACCAGCUCAAAGCCUUGGAUCUGGGCAAGGGUGGUAGCUGACUAGUUCAGCUCAUCAUCUCUUCCCUUGUCCUGGUGAGGGGUGGAGCCAGCUCUCCUGCACUCACACCACCAGGACCAGCUCUCUAGAACUGCCCAGGCCAGGCGCAGGGCCAGCUCUUCUGCACCUAUGCCACCAGGGCCAGCUCUGCUCUGCUGGCCACUGUGCAGAGUGCCACAGCCAGUAAGGGGCAGGGCUAGCUCUCCUGCUCUCCUGGCUCUCUGGGCCAGUUCUUCCAGUGAUGCCCAGGUGAUGAGUAGGGCCAGCUCUGCACAGCUCUCAGAUAUCAAUAUGACCCCAGACAACGGCCCAGAUCAGGGAUGUCCACAUGGCCUUUGGUAGUAACGUGGACCACCAGCAUCAGUACUAGCCACUGACAUCAAUACAGACCCAGGCCUGGCCUGGCCCUGGCUCUCAGUGGCAGCAUAGGCCAAGGCAUCACUGUGGCUUCAGGUGGUAGCUCAGGCUACUCCCAUCAGGCAGAUCCUCAGCACCCUCCUUUCUCCAUAGUGCACAAGCCAUUGCACUUCUCUUUCUCUCCCAUCUCUCCAUCACAUAUUUACUUUCAUAGUGUUACGCUCCUGCUGCUGGUGGGUGUGACUCUACACGUAUUUUGCCACAUGAGCAGCAUUUUGUAGGCCUGAUUCAAUCUCCAGCAAGUGCCCCUUGCUUCUCAAAAUCUUUUCAUGCAUUGACAUUUUAGGCAAGUCCUUUAUCUGUGCCUAUUUCUCUAUACAUUCAAAGGAGAAGACCACAUAACUGGGAAGAGUUUUAUAAAGUUUAACUUAUAAAAUGGAUUUAUUUUAUGAGUAUUUACUUGCAUAUAUGUGUGUACACUGAAUGCAUACAGUGACUGAGGAGGCCAGAAGAGGGUGGCAGCUCCUCUGAAUUGUAGUUACAGAGAUUGUGAGCCACCAUGUGUGUGGUGAAAACUAAUCCCAGGUCCUUUGCAAGAGCAGCAAGUACUUUUAAUCUCUAAGCCAUCUCUCCAGUUCCUAAAUUUAAUUUUUAGAAAGCAUUCUUAAAAGCACUGAGGCUGACAGUGGGUGGUAAUUUAAAUAGUUUAGACUUGAAUUGGGGGAAACAUUACCUAUCAGGCAUUGUUUUCAGAAGAGAAGCAAAUUAGAAAUAAGAGCUACAUCUAGAACUAAUCAAUUAUUAAUAUAUUGUGGGAGUGGGAAAAUUAUGACUUUUAAAAUUAUGAUAGCAUCCAUGUAAUAUUCCCCUUAUACAAGCUCUUGGGUAAUUCCCUCACAUAAGUGUUGGAGAGAUUAGACUUUCUUGGUUCAUAUUUCCGGGCCUUGUUUUACAAGAAAAAUAUAUGGUUUUUUUGUUUGUUUUUAAUGUUUCACAUUUAAGUCUUCUGUAGGUUUUAUUGUUCUUGAUUUUUUUAAAAAUUGCAAUUAAUUAAUCAUUUAAUUCCUUAAGGGGGAAACUCAAUAACUUUAAUUAGGAAAUAUUUAAAUGCCCUUCAUGUUAUAUUUAAAAUAAAAGAAUAGUUAUUCUUAGGCCAAGACAAAAUGACUAAAAUUGAUGUGCAUGUUUGUGGGUGGGACUAAGGAGCUACAGCAGAGGGGAAGGCUGCAUUUCCAGCUUGAGUUUUAGAAAUGUGCCAUACUUUGUGGAUUCUUGAGAAUAUCAGUCUUCUAUUUUAAAGUUAACUGACUUUCCCAAAGGUGAAAUAUGCAAACUUUUCUUUAUUUAGAUUUGUUUAUAAACUGAAGCUUUGAAGACAGCAAAAUUAAUACUAUCUUUUCAGCAAGCACUUAACAAUUUAAAUAUGUAGAAGCAUUCUGUUUAAAAAUUAGGGAGAGAACUGCCACAACACAGGCUAUCCAUAGUUAUUUGUGAUCUUUUCAUUCUUUUCCCUCAGAAAUAGUUUUUACUUUUAUAAAGAAGAGAAAUAAAAUCUACUGGGGGUGUGUGUGACAUUAUUUUUAAGAUUAUAAAAUGCCUGUUCUUUUUACUCUAGCAGUAAUGUGGAGCAUGCCUGCUCUCUUAACCAUCUUUGACUUCAUACCCAAAUUCUGAACAGGAAAUAUGCUGCCAGGAUGUGUGGGAUGGGAAACAUAGCACUAAAGUGAAAAAAGCAAAAAGGAAAUUUCUUCUUAAAUAACCUCCGACAUCUAGUAAACUGAGUUAGUAUACUUAUCAUUAGCCUGUGUUUGAUAUUUUUAAAAGUUUAUUUAUUUAAUCACUUUACAACCUGUUAACAUCCCUUCCUUUUCUCCCAGUACCCCUCAUGCAAUUCCUCCCCUAUUCCACUUUCCCCGGGAAGCCCCCUCUGGGUGCCACCACCCCACCCCCACCCUAAAGGAUUCCAGUGGCCAAAGUUAGAAUUUGAGCAACAGAAAUAUACAUAGCAGUAUUUGAUUAUAACCCAUUGCACACAAUAAAUAUCCAUGCAUUCAUACUGAUGAAAUGAGUCAGAUAUAAAAUUAAGUAAGUCUUGCGCGCGCUCGACUGGCCAGGAAGAACGACUCUGCAACAGGAUCCUUCUGCACACGUUUAUUGGGAGAGCUUGAUUGUAGAGGCGAAAAUACCCUGAGCCCAGAACUGGUGCUGCNNNNNNNNNNGUCUUGGCAAAAGAACCUUCACUGCCUAUGUAUGUGUGGUGGCCAGCAGUAGCCAACUGCCACUCUGCAACUGCCACUCUGCAACGGCUUCCCACAAGUAAGAAUAGAAUCAACAAAUUUUCCUGCCACAGGAACUUUAGAUUCCUUAAGGUGUGGAACCUAACUCUUGGCUCAUGGAUGAGCUGCCAGUAGAGACUUUAACAGCCUCCCCCCAUCUCUCUAACUUUACAGUGAAGAAAUACAGCAUACUGUUGCAGCUGAGAGCUGAAAGUACCAACAGUGAUGAAUCAUACUGCUAGUCUAUAUUCUUGAUAGGAAGCAAUGCCUUUACUUUAGGAGUCUUACUCCCCAAAUACACUCCAAGUCUCAUCAUGAGAAAAACAUCAGAAAAAUCUUAAGUUGAAGGGAUCCUGCACAGUAUCUGAUACUGCCUAAAAGUUUUCAAGAUCAUCAAAAACAAGCCCUAACAAGUUGUCAAAAAAUUUAAGUCUAACAUGCUUGCUUAAGAAGACAUAACAGUGGGGCUGGAGAGAUAGCUCAGCUGUUAAGAGCACUGACUGUUCUUAUGAAGGUCCUGGGUUCAAAUCCCAGCAACCACAUGGUGGCUUACAACCAUCUGUAAUGACAUCUGAUGCCCUCUACUGGUGUGUGUGUCUGAAGACAGCUACAGUAUUCUUACAUAUAAAUAAUAAAUAAGUUAAAAAAAAAGAAGACAUAACAGCUAAGUGUGAUGUCAUAUCCUAAAUAGGCUCCUGGAACAGAAAAUAGAAAUUUAGGUAGAAACUUGGGAUAUCUGAGUAAAACCUGGACUUUAAAAACAACAAUGAUGUAUCAUUAUUGGUUCAAUUGUGGCACAUAUACUGUGCAGAUAAUAUGGAAGAACUGCUGUGCAGCAUGGAAGUUCUUUGUUGUACCUUUAUGGUUUUCCUGUAAGUUAGAAAUUGUCUUAAAAUAAACUUUUCCAAAAC